UACGUAGGGGGCAAGCGUUGUCCGGAUUUAUUGGGCGUAAAGAGCGUGUAGGCGGCCAGGUAGGUCCGUUGUGAAAACUGGAGGCUUAACCUCCAGCUGUCGAUGGAAACCAUCUGGCUAGAGUCCGGAAGAGGAGAGUGGAAUUCCUGGUGUAGCGGUGAAAUGCGCAGAUAUCAGGAAGAACACCCGUGGCGAAGGCGGCUCUCUGGGACGGUACUGACGCUGAGGUGCGAAAGCGUGGGGAGCGAACAGG
rnacentral:rRNA from 1 species